rnacentral:rRNA from 1 species
ACGUCAAGUCCUCAUGGCCUUUAUGCCCAGGGCUACACACGUGCUACAAUGGGUGGUACAAAGAGAUGCAAUCUCGCAAGAGCAAGCAAACCUCAAAAAGCCAUCCUCAGUUCGGAUUGGAGUCUGCAACUCGACUCCAUGAAGUCGGAAUCGCUAGUAAUCGCGGAUCAGCACGCCGCGGUGAAUACGUUCCCGGGCCUU